UGGGGAAUAUUGCACAAUGGGCGCAAGCCUGAUGCAGCCAUGCCGCGUGUAUGAAGAAGGCCUUCGGGUUGUAAAGUACUUUCAGCGGGGAGGAAGGUGUUGAGGUUAAUAACCUCAGCAAUUGACGUUACCCGCAGAAGAAGCACCGGCUAACUCCGCGCCAGCAGCCGCGGUAAUACGGAGGGUGCAAGCGUUAAUCGGAAUUACUGGGCGUAAAGCGCACGCAGGCGGUCUGUCAAGUCGGAUGUGAAAUCCCCGGGCUCAACCUGGGAACUGCAUUCGAAACUGGCAGGCUAGAGUCUUGUAGAGGGGGGUAGAAUUCCAGGUGUAGCGGUGAAAUGCGUAGAGAUCUGGAGGAAUACCGGUGGCGAAGGCGGCCCCCUGGACAAAGACUGACGCUCAGGUGCGAAAGCGUGGGGAGCAAACA
rnacentral:rRNA from 1 species